AGACGGCCGGGCAGUCGCUGGUAUAGCCGGUAAGGCUAUGCUGGAGGAAAGUCCGGGCUCCAUGGAAACAGGGCGGCGGAUAAUGUCCGCCCGGCGUGAGCCGAGGGAAAGUGCCACAGAGAGCAGACCGCCUCGCCGCUUGCGGCGAGGUAAGGGUGAAAGGGUGGGGUAAGAGCCCACCGCGGGGGCGGUAACGUCCCUGGCAUGGUAAACCCCGCCCGGAGCAAGACCGAAUAGGGGGCGCGCAUGGGCCGUUUCCAGCCCGCGCCCCGGGUGUGUCGCGUGAGGGCCGGUGCGAGCCGGCUCCCAGAGGAAUGACUGCACAGGCGCCGCAAGGCGCUGGACAGAACCCGGCUUACAGGCCGUCUGGU
rnacentral:RNase_P_RNA from 1 species